UACGGAGGAUGCGAGCGUUAUCCGGAUUUAUUGGGUUUAAAGGGUGCGUAGGCGGAGUGCCAAGUCAGCGGUAAAAAUUCGGGGCUCAACCCCGUCGUGCCGUUGAAACUGGCGCCCUUGAGUGGGCGAGAAGUAUGCGGAAUGCGUGGUGUAGCGGUGAAAUGCAUAGAUAUCACGCAGAGCCCCGAUUGCGAAGGCAGCAUACCGGCGCCCGACUGACGCUGAAGCACGAAAGCGUGGGUAGCAAACAGG
rnacentral:rRNA from 1 species